UCAGUUCGGACUGGAGUCUGCAACCCGACUCCACGAAGCUGGAUUCGCUAGUAAUCGCGCAUCAGCCAUGGCGCGGUGAAUACGUUCCCGGGCCUUGUACACACCGCCCGUCAAGCCAUGAAAGCCGGGGGUGCCUGAAGUCCGUGACCGCGAGGGUCGGCCUAGGGUAAAACUGGUGAUUGGGGCUAAGUCGUAACAAGGUAGC
rnacentral:rRNA from 1 species